GACCGCGUAGCUCAGUUGGCAGAGCAUUGGGCUAGUAUUCGAAAGGUCGUAGGUUCGAUUCCCACCGUGGCCG
rnacentral:tRNA from 1 species